GCCAGUGGGACCUUCCAGUCCCUCUCAAAACCAUCUGCAGCAGUAGUCACCUCGGUGAUCCCCAUAAAGAGCUGGGUCUUACUGUGGACAAAGCCCCAUCAUUAACCUGUGCAUAUUUUUCUUGUGCAGCAACAGAAACAUGAGGUCGGUCCAGCCUGGGGCAGUUUCUCUCCAAGAGAAGAUGGAGGAAGCACAGCUAAGUGACUGGAAAUUGGACAUGCCUUCAUGUCAAGAGAUACCUGUACCUCUUGGAAACAACAAGCCCUUUGUGGUACCUCAGUGGGAUCAUCAGUGGGGCAUGGCCCUCUCUUGGACAACGGUGGAACUCUGGCAUUAUAUAGAUGAAAAUGAAGGAUGCAGUCCACGUGUGAGGGCCAAAGAGGCCUGGGCGUCUCCAUUUUCUUGAGACUUCCAAUAUAUGGGGGAGGGGGAGAGGAAUGCAACUGAAACAGCUUUAUAAAAAUUAUAUGUGUUAUAUUUAUAUGUUGUAUUUUUAAAUGUUUAUGCUGAGUAAAUGAAUUCUUUACCUUUAAGAAUGUAAUAUUAUUUGCUACAUUAAGAUUAUCACAGAAUUGAUAAAAUGGGGGUUAUACACAAUAUUCUCGCACAAUGGAACACAAAUUUCGGGUUGUGUGAUGCACUUUAUCUUUUCCCCAUUUCUGUCAUGCAUCUUAGAAAUUGUGUGAAUGACGUCAUUUAGAGAUAGUCUCUUUUUAAAAUAAUUUAUUUUGAUUGUAGUUGAUUUACAGUGUUUCAGGAGAACAGUGUGACUCAGUCAUACAUACAUAUGUAUAUCUAUUAUAUUUCAGUUUCCAGCAUAGGUUAUUACAAGAUACCAACUAUAGUCUCCUGUGCCAUACAGUAAGUCCUUGUUUGUUUAUUUUAUAUAGUAAUGUGUAUCUAUUAAUCCCAAAUUCCUAAUUUAUCUCUUUGUCCCUUUCCCCUUUAGUAACCAUUAGUUUAGUUUCUAAGUCGGUGAGUCUGUUUCUGCUUUGUAAAUAAGUUCAUUUGUAUCUUUUUUUGAGAUUACACAUAUAAGUGAUAUGAUACAUCUUUUCCACUUUGUAUGAAUAUAAAGUCUUAACAUGAGACGCUUUGUGAGUUUGUGUGUCAAAUAACCCUUUCUGCCUUUCCAUUUCCACCCUGUUCCUCUAUAGACCAUAGCUUUCCAAAAAAUGUCAUUCUUGGGCAAGUUACUUACUUUUCUGGCUCUUGUUCUCAUUCCUAAAAUGCAUGUGUG
rnacentral:lncRNA from 1 species